CUUUGCCUUGUGUAAUAUAUUUGUGAAACAUUAGGUAGAAAUUUUAACUUCAUUAGAGAAUCACAGAGAGUUUAUUUCAUUAUUUCAACGCAUUACAUAGAGAAAAUAAAUCCAAAUAAUUAAUAUAAAUAUACUUAUAAGUGAAAAAUCAAUUUAUAGCUCCACAAACAGUUCUUAUGAUCCCAUUUUGACCGGUUAGAGGACUAAUAUCUCCCAUUUUAAUCAUGGCUGCAGCAAAAUCAGAGGCAAAUGUGCGAGGGUUGUUGCUAUAUUCAGUAACAAUGCUAUCCGUUGACCCGCCACUAAGAAGGACUUGAUCUGAUUGAAGAAGACCUUUUCUUUGAAUCAAGUUCUUGUAGUAAUUGUUAUCCAAUUGAUUGGGUGUAACCAAAUCUAGUGGAGCUAGGUUUCCAUUUUGAUCUUCUUGAGGACAUUGACGUCUUCUAGUGCUAGCAAAUCCAGCAUCGAUGUCUGUUCCAUUACUGUAAAUUCUAUCGCGGAAAAGGAAACAUUGUGCUUGACCAAUUGAAUGUGCACCUAGAAUAAGAUGAUUUAAAUCGUUAGAUCUUCUUAUCUAUACAAGUAUAUGAUCGAUAAAAUUCUUUUUUUAAUAAUUUUCUAAUUAGGGUUUUACCUGAUAAAGCAACCAUAUCCUUUGUGCUAAGGCCUUUGUUGGCAAAGCCAGAAAUAAUCCUAUCAAGAGGAUCAAAAGGACCUGGGAGAUCAGUUUCAGCAAGAGUAUGACUUGCAGUGGUGGAAUCUCUUCUUCCGAGUUUCACCGUCCAUGAUGGACCUCCAACCUGAUUGUUAAUAAACAUAAUAUUGAUUAGUACCGACCAUACCUUUUUAUAGCAUUUUUUAAAACUAGGAGCACUUACGAGAGUGGAUGCAUCCCUAGCAGCAACUGCAAGUAUGUCUGCACAUGACACAAUUCCUGGACAUGUUUUCUCAAGUUCCCUUUUUGCAUCUUCUAUAAUACCGUAUCCUCUAGCUGAUCCAAGAUUUGGCAAUGCAGUCUUCUCGCUUACAAUUGUUGGAGUCUCAUCAAGUAAGAUAGAAGCAUCACAACCCUAUACAUAAUUAAAGUUAAAUCCACAAAUUACAAUUAGUAUAUAUACGUCGUCAAACCAAUAAUUUGAACUUGAGUACUUAGAGAAACAUAAAGCAUCUAAUAUAACUUACCUGAACAAAGCAAUCAUGAAAAUGAAGACGAAUGAGGGAUGCAGCCAUGCGACGUUCACUUGAAACUGCUUGUCUUAUGCUUGUACGAAUAGUGGUGAGAGCAGUAGGGCAAGUGCGGUCAUAGAAUGUAGAAGAAAGUUGUGCAUGACAUUGCAUGCUAGAGAGUAAGAGAAGAGAAAAUAUAGCAACAAAAGAGUUGUUUGAAGUAGUCAUCAUUUGGAAAGUGUGUAUAAUAUAUGAUGCCAAGAAGUAAGAAUAGAUGUUAAGGUGAUAGAAGAGAAAUGUGCUACUGAAAUAUUUAUAGGCAAAUGAAAGUCUAUUUUUGGUCACUAUUGGCUGCCAAUUGCAAAAUUAAUAUUCCGCGUUAUUGCUAGCUUUUGUAUUUGACUUUAUCUUCGUCUACCUAUAUUUGAAAGGCUCUUCUCAUGAGUUACACAUAUAUAUUAUUCCGUCUUGUUCAAUUUAGUUUAUUUGUCUACUUUAACAUGAUACAUAAUUUAAGAAAAAAUUCAAAGGACUUUUGAAUCUUAUAAUGGUAUCAAAAUGUUAUUUAAUUUUAUGGUUUUAAAUAUGUCAUGUGAAAAAUUGAAAUUAAAGAGUUGACAAAAAAGGAAAGACACUCUUCUUAAAAUACCAAAUAUAGAGAAAAAAAUAAGACAAAUAAAUUAAAACAUAACAAGUACAUUAUCUUCAAAGGAUAAAAAUCAACUUACUUCAUAUCAUAUAUAAUAAUUAUAGUUGAAAAUGUGACUUCACACUAUUUUUAGGUUUUUUGUUCUGACUAAGUGACGAAUUUACCGAGAAAAAAGAACUAAGUGACGAUUCAAUCUUUAAUUUAUUCUUGGUAAAAAUAAUAAUAAUAAUAAUAAUAAUAAUAAUUAGCUGAAAAAAACCGACAGAUGGGCCAGUCCAAAAAAUCGAGGGAAAAUCAACUUUGUCCGUUGGUUUUGGGUUGAUAUUGGAUGUUCGUUGUUUUUUUAAAAACAGAAAAUCAACGCAGUUAUUCCUUUUUUUAAUUAUUUUAUAUUUAUUUUUUAUAAAAAUCGAUGGACAAGGACAAGGUCAACUUUUAAAGUGCAAAAUUAUAGUUGAAGAGUAUAAAUAAUAAUGAUUAAAAUAUUUCGUCAAAGAGCAUGUGUGAUUGAGCAGUAAAAUUGUCUAAAGUUAUGUUAAGGUGAUUUUACUGGCAAUAGUAAUUGACACUAAAAAAAUGCUGCCAAAAGUAUUUACUUUUCGCGGCAAUAAUAUUGGUGUUUACCAGCACUCUAAAUAAAUAUCACUAAAGCCUUUAGCGACAUUGAAUGCAAUAGCAAUAAAUUAAGGGAAAAUUGUAUGAAAUAACAAACUAUUAAUUCAAAUUAAAUGCUACAGUCCUAGUUUAUUUUAUUUGUAAUUCGCAGCAAACAUCCCAUUUUUUUGCCAUUUGAUUAUGUAUACAAUUAGUCAUUUUCGGUACACAAUUAGUCAUUUUAUAUAUUUGGAUAUAAAAUGUAUAAAAUGCAUUUGUGUUUGUAUAAAGUGAGAGAAAAGUGUAUAUACAAAUACAAAUACAUAUAUUUUCUUCCUAUACAAUUAUACAAAUACAGAUCUUAUUAUACAAAUUACAAUGUAUAAAUGAAUUUAUACAAAAUUGAACAAUUUGUAUAAAAUUGGAUGUAUCUAACGAAUUAUACAAAUCAAAAGCUCCAUAGCAAACAUAAAAUUUGUUAUGAAACGCAAUUAUGCAAACUAUAGCUAUAGCUAUAACUAUAACAUACAAAUAUGAUUUUUAUGUUUGCUAUAUGUGAAAGUUGCUCGAUUAAAUGCCGGUAAAUAUUUUUGUGGCAAUAAAUAUUGUCACUAAAAGGAAAAUUAAUUGUCACUAAAAGUUUAUUUUGGUGUAGUGAUACCUGGGUACAAUUCCAACUAACUAUAUUUUUAUGAAUAUUUAUGAAAAUCAUAUAUACCUUCUGACGGACACGAUCGGUUGUCCCUCAAUUUUAACCGAUCCUGUCUAUUAGUUUCACGAAAGCGGUGAAGGUAAAACCGACAAUGCAUUUUUCGUAAAAAUUAAACUUAUAACCUUGUCCGUCGAUUUUAGCCCUUGAUUUUAAACCUUUUUUUCGUGGUAUAAUUUUUUAAACUAUCAGUGUAACUAACGUAUAUAUAAUUACUUACAUAAAUAAAUGAAUAUUUUUUUUUUAUAUAAUUGUAAGAGAAUAAAUUAUACUAGUAAUUUCAAAUAAAAUGAAUAACGGAUCCGUACAGCCCGACAGCUUAACUCCUUGACUAAUUCUAUCCUUUUUUAUUUGAAUUUUUCAUUUAACAAAGUUUUUUAAAAAAAAAUUAUACUUCCUCCGUUCACUUUUACUUGUCACUUAUUCCUAAAAUAGACUUUCAUUUUUACUUGUCACUUCUGACCUAUCAAGAAAAGAUAAUAAUUUUUUUCUAUGUUGUAUUAAAUACUUAUUUUCCAAAUCAUUUUCUAAGACAUCAUUUAAUAGAGGAUCACCUAUAUCAUUAACUAUUUUUUUAAUUGUGUGUCAAAUCAAACUGUGACAAGUUAAAGUGAAUGGAGUGAGUAUUUGAAUUGAAACUGAAUUAUAAUAUUUGGAAGAUAUGUUGCUAGGUCAAAACAAGUUUUUUUUUCUUUUCAAAUAAGCACCCUUGACAAAAUGCCACGCUAUAAAGGUUUAACUUUGAAAUGGUUGACAUUAAUUUAAGGGUAAAAUGACAAAUAUACCCCGGACUAUCGUAAAUGGUAUGCAAAUAUCCUCCGUCAUACUUUUGGGACAUAAGUGUCCCUACAGUCCAAAAACUAGAGCAUAUAUGCCCUUCACUCUAACGGAUGAUUAAAUAGGGACACGUGGCACAAUCUUAUCCGUCGAUCUGAUAUUUAAUAAAUGUUGGAUCGGUGGAUAAGAUUAUGACAUGUGUAUGUCCUUUAGUAUAAAGGGUAUAUAUGCUCUAGUUUUUGGACGACAAGGACACCAAUGUCCCAAAAGUAUGACGGAAGGUAUCUGCAUACCAUUUACGNNNNNNNNNNNNNNNNNNNNNNNNNNNNNNNNNNNNNNNNNNNNNNNNNNNNNNNNNNNNNNNNNNNNNNNNNNNNNNNNNNNNNNNNNNNNNNNNNNNNNNNNNNNNNNNNNNNNNNNNNNNNNNNNNNNNNNNNNNNNNNNNNNNNNNNNNNNNNNNNNNNNNNNNNNNNNNNNNNNNNNNNNNNNNNNNNNNNNNNNNNNNNNNNNNNNNNNNNNNNNNNNNNNNNNNNNNNNNNNNNNNNNNNNNNNNNNNNACAUAUUUGAUCAAUCAACUUAGAUAAUUAAAUUUACUAGUCAUAUAUACAUUAUUUUGUAUCGAAAUUAUAUACAUAUUAAUUUAAUAUAUAUCAUCCAUUAAUAUAUAAAAAAACAUAUAUUCAUUAAUUGUUAUUUUGAUAAACGACUAUGUAUAUUCAUUUAUAUAACAAAAAAUAAUUUAAUUGUUAUAAUGAAAUAUUAAUUGUAGCAAGUGAUCCAUAACAGAACUAGUGAGAUUUCGAUCAAAAUCAAUAACUUAAACAAAUUAAAAUUCUGAACUUUAACUUCAAAUUGUAACUCAGUCUUUAAUCGUAUAUAUAUAAUAAUAUAAUUGUGUUGACAAAUUAAGAUUGUUGUUAGAUUUCUAUGAUUGCUCCUUGCUCAUUAAUCAUUAUAGUCAUAUAUACAUCAUCUUGUCUUUGACAAAUCCCUUUCUAUUUUGGGGAAAAACUUAUUAUUUCAAUGAUUAAUUUAUAAUCGUGUUCUGGCUAAAAUAAGAAAGUCAAAGGAAUAAUUAUUAUGAACUAACAAAGUAAGAUCCAGCCGCUUUGCUUAUAUUAUAUUUAUUUCUAUUGAGGAUUUUUAUUUAAUAAAAAAAAAAGUCAAAGGACCAAUUAUUAUGAAUUGACAUGUCAAAAGGCAAAGGUCAAUGACAUUAUUAAAAAAUGUAUUUUAGGAGAAGAUUUAUUUUUAGCUGGUAAAAUUUAAUAAACUGAGAAAGAUAUAAAGUUAUUUUAAUUUAUCUUUAUUACAAUGUGGAUUUACAUUAUAAUUUCGGAUAUUAUUUUUUAUCAGAUUAAUAUCUAGCUAGAGAUAUUUCUAUAAUUCUCUAAUUAAUUUAAUAAAUAAAUGGUCUCCGUUUGUAGAAGACUUUUUCUUUGCACAAUUCACUUUAUUCCUACAUUUCUAUCAUACGUACUAGGAAGCUUCAUGAAUUAAAUACUAUAAUAAUAAUAAAUAAUGACAUGCAUAAAUGUCAUUUUCAACAAAAUAUAUUUAGGCAUUAUAUUAGUUGAAAGUCAAAGUCAGCAGGCUAUAUCCAAUUACAUAACAGAAUUAAAAUCGAAAUUUUAUAAAUUAAAGCAGCAUCUAAUACUUUAUUAAAAAGAGUUCACAUUAUUGUCAACGACAACUCUUGCCACAGUUUUGGCUAAUAGGAGUAGGGCUGUGAAAAUCAAAUCGAUUAAUAAAUUAAAUUGAAAAAAAUCUUAUUAGAUUUAUGGGUUUUUAAUGGUUUUACAAAAAAUAAAUAAAUUAUGGGUUAUCGUUCGAUUUUGGUUUUUAGUAUUGAGUUAUUGCGUAAAUCGAUAACCCAUUAAAAUAAUAGUAUUUUACUAUUUUACCCUUCAUAAAUAUUAAAUAUUAAUAAUUUAUCAUACACUACAAUCUACCUAACUAAAUAUCAUCUUUCUUGUUUCACUAUAUCAAAACAUUUACAGCAAAUAGCUAAUUUGCUUGUUUCACUAUAUCACACCAAUUUAUUAGAGAAGUGAGAAGUUAUAUAUUUAUUUUAUGAACAAUUUUUCAUUCGGUAAAUCGAAAAUCAAAGUCAGCAGCAGGCUAUAUCCAAUUACUAUUCGGUCAAAUUUAUUUUUGACGUUGUAGGUAUUGAAUUUCCUUGAUUUCUUUGUAUAUUAACUUCUUUUUAUAUACAAUCUUCUUAACGAAAACUAAGACUCCCGCCGCUACUGUUUGAUACUUUUAGACUGCUGGUGGGUACGUAGAAAGUGGAUGCAGGCAACUUGUGUAGAACACCACGCUAUAAAAGUUGGAGUUUGGAAUGGUUAAUUAAACAAAAAGGAUAGCAUCUAAUAGUUUAAUGUCAAAAUAAUUAUUAUUUGUCAAAUGUGAGUAUUAUAAUUAUUUAUAUAGUCAUACAUCAUCAAUUCUUUGACAUUGCCCUUUCGUACCGAUGAUUUGAUAAUAUCUAAUUUGUAGGAUAAAAUUAUGAAAUGUCAAAAUCAAUAGUCAAUGGGAUUAAAAUAUUACUUUUGGAGAACAUUUCGUUUUCCAUGCUCAGUAAAAUCUAUUACGAAAGAGAGUCAUUUUAAUUUGUUUUAAUAAUGAUAACGAUCCUAGUCGUAGUUUAAUAAUAUUUUUAAAUUAUCUUAACAAUUUAUGGAUUACUGUAGUUAUUUUUCUGUUGACUUCAUUAUGGUAGGGUAAAAUUAAAAAAAUAUAAUGAUAUAAAUUUUAAUUUAUCGAUUACAGUAGUCGAAAACUACAACAAAAUUCCAAUUGCGCAUUAUAGUCGAAAAGCCUAGUAAUUACAUUGCUAAACAUUAGCUAGAAGUACUUAACUACUUCCUUAAAGCAUAACGAAGAUUUUAUUUCAUUCCUGAAACAAUACAAAUAGAAAAAAAAAUCAAAUGAAUACAAAUAAACUUAGCAAUUAUACAAGUAAUAGGCUUUUGAAAAAUCAAUUUAUAGCUCCACAAACAGUUCUUAUGAUCCCAUUUUGACCAGUUAGAGGACUAAUAUCUCCCAUUUUAAUCAUGGCUGCAGCAAAGUCAGAGGCAAAUGCCCGAGGGCUAUUGCUAUAUUCUAAAACAAUAUCAUCGGUAGAUCCUCCACUCAAAAGAACUUGAUCCGAUUGAAGAAGACCUUUUCUUUGCCUCAAGUUCUUGAAGUAGUUGUUAUCCAAUUGAUUAGGUGUUACCAAAUCAAGUGGAGCUAGGUUUCCAUUUUGAUCUUCUUGAGGACACCGACGUCUUCUGGUGCUAGCAAAUCCAGCAUCGAUGUCUGUUCCAUUUCCAUAAAUUCUAUCAC
rnacentral:lncRNA from 1 species